rnacentral:lncRNA from 1 species
GUGAAUCUGUGACUGCCAGUUUCAGUGAAAGACCCUGGCUCAAACAAUAUGGCGAAAGGGUGACAGAGGAAAACACCUAACAUCAGCAUCUGGCCUCAAUCGGCUCAUCUGCAUAUAUUUAAACAUCUGAGAUGCAAUGUGACCAGAUGCCUUAAGCUCCCAUUGCUACGGUUUCCCUGCCAUGAUGGACUGUAUCCUCCAACUGAUGUGUGAAGUAUUCUCAGGUGGUGGUGCAGACAGCAGGAAACCGUGGGUGGAUGUGCGAAAGGAACCCGGAAUGUGAACUGGAAGCCGGAUCCCUGUGGAUUUGUUUGGCCUUCACGCAUUCCAGGGUGUCCUCCAGGAGCAUUGGAACAAAGUCGGGAGGGUUCUGUCUACAACUGAGUCAGAGCACAG